CCAAUAGCGUAUAUUAAAGUUGUUGCAGUUAAAAAGCUCGUAGUUGAAUUUCGGGAUCAAUUUGUCGGUCGUGCCUCGGUACGUACUGGCAUUAUUGGUUUCUACCUUCUGAAGAACCUUGAUGUCAUUAAUUUGGUGUCUUGGGGAAUCAGGACUGUUACUUUGAAAAAAUUAGAGUGUUUAAAGCAGGCAUACGCUUGAAUACAUUAGCAUGGAAUAAUGAAAUAGGACGUUUGAUUCUAUUUUGUUGGUUUCUAGGAUCGACGUAAUGAUUAAUAGGGAUAGUUGGGGGCAUUAGUAUUCAAUUGUCAGAGGUGAAAUUCUUGGAUUUAUUGAAGACUAACUACUGCGAAAGCAUUUGCCAAGGAUGUUUUCAUUAAUCAAGAACGAAAGUUAGGGGAUCGAAGACGAUCAGAUACCGUCGUAGUCUUAACCAUAAACUAUGCCGACUAGGGAUCGGAUGAUGUUAUUUUUAAUGACUCAUUCGGCGCCUUACG
rnacentral:misc_RNA from 1 species